rnacentral:lncRNA from 1 species
AUAAUACUAGAGAAAGAACUUCUGAUAGGGAGUUCUCUGAGAACAACAGAGUAAAAAGGAGAUUGAUAGAAGAACUUGAUGUCUAUACUGGGGAAGACUAGUGUCACGUAAGAUGUUUGUCUACUAGGGAAUAGGCUUCUAGGUGAGGUUCCCUAAGGAGUGUGAGUGUCGAGGAAAGUCCUAAGAAAUCCUUUAUAGGAUCUGGUGAAU